rnacentral:pre_miRNA from 1 species
UCACCUCUGCAGGCUGGCUGGCCCCAGGCUGGGCUGGGUGAGUAUCUCUUCAAAAGGCUCAUCCUCAAGCAUGACCAGGAGC